rnacentral:lncRNA from 1 species
UUUGACAGGAAUCUUCUCUCCCUGGCCCUCGUCAUCCUCACCUCCUCCUCUUUCUGCUUGUGGUUUGCGCUCCUGUAUAAUCCUCGCCUGUUCUCCAGCCUCGGGACGACCCUUGCCGGUUUAGUUGGGGUCUCUUUAAAGGCGAAUGGGCAUACUUUCUAAUGCCUCUGGCUUUUUGGAUUCUGAGUGAAUAAAGCAGGUUCUAAAAAGGGAAUGAGAGAGCGCGAGCUACCAGUUAUAUCACUUCCUCCUGACGUGUUCUGCACAUACGUGGCAUCUAGAAAUUUCAGCCGAGGAUUGAAGCACAGCACACAUGGUAAAUACCACUUAAGAAGUAGAUGACAGUUUUCAAUUGCCAAAUGAUAAUGGUUGAGUAACUGCUUAAAAACCUAUUUUCCCCGGGGGUGGAAGCCGAGCCUUUGAAGUUUAGACUUUCACAUGGGUGUGUUUUACCACAAUACUUGGUUUUUUUAGGGACCCGAGUCCCCAGAUAAUAUCCUGGUGUGUAAGAUUUUUCCCACAUAGAGGUUGGUUCCUUGGUUUCUCCCUUGCCGAGGAAAAGAGAUUUUGCACGGGGUAUUGGAUAUUUUAUUCCAGGCAUGUGGUUUUUGAGGAGGCAUACUGUUUAUUUUUCUUUUUGGCUGCGUCGAUUUUGUUGGGUUCUAAUUGUAAAUACCACAAGCAAAGCAUGACUUAUUGGGAGGGACGGGCAGGGGUAGCUGUGGAACUUUCUGAGCCCUGGCUGGGGGCCGGGGGCAGGAGCCACGCCGGAGGACUGGAGGAACUGCAGACAUGGCCUGUGGGGCACUGUGGGCUUUGCCCUUGGGCUCCAGCGACUGCUUGAGUUGGAACCCUUGGAACAGAGGCUCAUGGGAAGUUCUUCCAGCUGCUUUAUUUUGAGCAGCUUUUCCCUUUGCAAAUUGGCAGCUGUUUGGAGGAGGGGCGUUCAUUACUGUCAGCCAGGGCGAUUUCCAGAGCAGACCUGUAUGGGUUUCAUUUCGGGAUUUAUUUCAGGGGUAUGUGGCUUGUCAUGGGUCAAGAGGACUUCGGUUGCAUUUUCCUGGAAGUCGGUGGGCUUCUGUAAUAAUUUGGGGUAGAAAGCAGGAAUUGUUUAGCUCUCUCCCCACUUUCUUGUUGAAUCCUUCCCCACCCCCAACCUUUGCAAAAGAAUCUGCAAAGGAGGUUGAAUAUGUGGCUUUGACAGCUUUCACGUGCUCUUUCUUGGUUUCUAAGGGAUGGCGUAGUAGGGUGGUGUGAUUUCAAAGCAAGAACUGGCAAAAUUGGAAGAUGUUUUGUGGUGGCUCCCCAGCACCCCCAAAGCUGAGCUCAUUGGUUUGCACCUCAUACAAACUUCCAGGAACACUGUCACUGUCAGUGGCUGGCACGAUGGGCUCGAGGACUUUGUUGAAACUUCAGGAAGUCUCCACAAUGGCUGCCUCUCACUGUGGGAGCUUUGGCAAGGCGUACAGGGAGUCGGUAGUGCUUGUUUUGAAAGCAAGACUCUGGUCUUAGGCUGCACAUCUCUGUGAGAGGCACAGGCAGCCUUGCUUCAGAAGGGAGGGAGGUGCUCCACAGCUGUCCCUUCCUGCAUCCAUGACAUACUUGUCUGUGUCACCUCUCCUCACGUUCAGAUUUGUUGUUUUGUAUGUUGUAUUCAUACCUGAAGUCUGACUCAUGACGACUUUGGCUAAUGUUGAUAUCGUCCUGGACUUUGAAGUGAUGCUGGUCAUAUUUAAAAGGUCUGUGUUGGGGCUUAGAAGUUGAUAUUUCUGCUGGUGGCCGCCUCCCCCUCCCCAGCUGCAGCUCAUUAUGCAUUAGACACAUCUUUUGUCCCUGUGCUUUGUGUUAUAGGUCUUUAGCGGCUUGUCGUGAUACUAAAUAGAUCUUUUUGCUGCAGCGUUUUUGGCUCUGAGCUGCCUGUGUUUUACGUGUUGGAGAUUAGUUGGUUAACUUGGGCAUGUGGUGUCCACACAGCAGACGCCUUUCAGAGAGGUGCUUAUCAUGGACCAUUAAUGGUUUUUGUCGGAUGUAUGUCACUCCUGUGAUUAACGGACGCCCAUGUAUCUGUGCAGAUAGGCAGUUUUCCUUUAUGCUUCCUUGGCAUUUCUCUGUCCGGGAGUAGUUUGGAGUAAGUGUUCUCCAAUAGGCUUUGCUUUUUAAUCAUGAGAAGCCUAUUUCUAGAAACCUUUAUAUUUGAUUUUCUUGAGGUUGGGGUAAGGAUCAUUUACCUUUACUGACUUUUUGCUUCACUAUAAAUUGCUUUCUGCGGUGCUGGUUCUGGCAAAUAGUAAACACUUCUUUGGUUUAGCAGUAUCCCAGAGUUUGAAGAAACUUAAAAAAAUUGAUUGGUCCAGGAGUUCCUGUCAUAGCUCAGUGGUUAGAGAACCCGACAAGCAACCAUGAGGUUAUGGGUUCGAUCCCUGGCCUUGCUCAGUGGGUUAAGGAUCCGGCAUUGCCGUGAGCUGUGGUGUAGGUCAAAGAUGCGGCUUGGAUCCUUUGUUGCUGUGGCUGUGGCAUAGGCUGGCGGCUGCAGCUCCAAUUGGACCUGGGAACCUCCAUAUGCUGUGGUGUG